rnacentral:rRNA from 1 species
AUACGUAGGGUGCAAGCGUUAAUCGGAAUUACUGGGCGUAAAGCGUGCGCAGGCGGUUUUGUAAGACAGUGGUGAAAUCCCCGGGCUCAACCUGGGAACUGCCAUUGUGACUGCAAGGCUGGAGUGCGGCAGAGGGGGAUGGAAUUCCGCGUGUAGCAGUGAAAUGCGUAGAUAUGCGGAGGAACACCGAUGGCGAAGGCAAUCCCCUGGGCCUGCACUGACGCUCAUGCACGAAAGCGUGGGGAGCAAACAGGAUUAGAUACCCUGGUAGUCCACGCCCUAAACGAUGUCAACUAGUUGUUGGGGAUUUAUUUUCUCAGUAACGAAGCUAACGCGUGAAGUUGACCGCCUGGGGAGUACGGCCGCAAGGUUAAAACUCAAAUGAAUUGACGGGG